UCCACAGUUUUUUUUUUUAUCAUCAACUUCCUACUUUAUACUGUUAAUUUCUUGUUAUUUCUUUGUAUUAAUCAUUUGUUUAUCUUUUAUCACUAGAGCCUUUUUGAUAUUAUUACCCCAUAGCUGGUAAACAAAAGGUUCUCAAUAGAGGUCUUCACUUUUAAGGCAGAACUUCCUCAUCUAUAGAGUGGGAUGUUUUAACAAUACAAACGUUUUAGGAUUUGUGGGGAUUAAGUGUAAAAUACAUGCAGGUGUUUAGGAGUCCUUGAGUGUUUCCUUCACUCUUUGUCUCAGAAGAAAUCUGUGAAAUAAACUCACUGGGUCUCCUUACAAUCUCUCUGGGUCCACCUUUACUCAUCUCGGUAAGAUUCACAGCCAAGAAUAGAAAUGCUCUCCUUUCAAUUACUUCCCAUCAAGGUAGGAAGAACGUUCUCUUUGGUAUCAAGCAUAAGUCCUGGUACUGUUGACAUCUUCCAGUUUCCUGUGGUUCUAAUGACUUUCCUGUGGUUCUGACUGCCUCUGUGAUCUCUCAUAUUUGUUUACAAUCCAGAAACAAGUUGACUUCACAGAAGUGCCUAACCCAGGACUCCUCCAGCUGUAGUUUCUAAUUCAUGCUAGUAGUUUCCAUGCCAACUAAAGGAUGAAAAACAUCUAAUGACUCAUCUAGGGGUUCACCUAAGGGUAAUCAAGCUGUCUAAGCCUCCAGGUUAUACUGUUCUCUUUUCUUGGAUCCAUUCUCAGACUGAUCCUUUUCAAACUCUCGUUCCAAGACACUUAAGUCACAAAUGGUCUUCAGUGUUCAAGCUUUCACAAUGAGAGAGACCCAUAGCUCUUCAGAAUGUACAUUAAAUCACAGAAAAAAAAAAAACAAAACCCAAACCCAGCAAUUCCAGCAGAGUCCACGAGGACCAAUCACUUUCUUAAGGAGUAGAGUCCUUACGUGGAUGAGGAGCCAAAGAGCAGCAGAAUCACAUGGUUGACAGUUCCACGCGUGUGACAUGAAGGGAGGAAGGAAGGUCUGGUUCUCCAGGAAAAGAGGGGCUGUGUUACGAGAAGCAGGAGUAUUGUUCAGGACGGAAACGACCCGAGUUCAUACAAGAGGCAAUACAGAUGAAGGCAGAUGAGAGACAUGAAGAUGUUCCAGGGCCAGGGAAGGAACCCAUGCCAAAGCAGUAACCCAGGCCACAGCAGGGACGAUACCAGAUCUUUAACCCACUGAGCCACCGGGGAACUCUGGCAAUGGAGAGAUCAGAGCUGGAGACAGAUACGUAGAAGUGGUUGCAUACAGGUGGUUAUGUAAAGUAGAGAGCAGCUAUCACCCCGAAUGAGAGUGCAGAUAAAUCAAAGCAGAUGGUAGGGCUCAAUCCCAGGGUAUUCCAAACAUAGAGGCCAAGUGGUGGAGUUGGCAAAUGAGAGUGGGAAGGAGUCUCUAGGGAGGCAGGAGGCAAGCACAGAGAAAGUUGUGUCCCACAAAGGAAAGCGAGAGUUUGAAUAAAGAAGGUGUAUUCAACUUGGUUAAAUGCUACUGAGAGGCUAAAAGGGAUAAAGACAGAGAAGUAGCCAUUGGGCUGGACGACAUGAAAGUGACCUUAACAGGAGCAGUGUAGAACACAAGCCCAACUGGAAUGUGUUGUAACAGAGAAGAAGAGGUAAUGAGGACAUUUUCAAGAGGGUUUUGUGCCAAGGGGAGAAGAUACGUGACAGUAUCUGAAAAGAAAUGUAGUGUCAGGGGAUAUACAUUAUAUGUAUGCAAACAUGUGAAGGCCUCCUGCCUGCACAGGCACUGAUUCUUUCUGCAGGUCCCUGGGCUGCUGGCCUGAGCCGGCCCCUCACCCACUUUGCAUGCUGACCACUGCACCCGCGCCAAUUACAGAGGUGGCUUUCUACUUGCCCAGCAACUGCAGACCAGCCAUGCCCAGGGCAAACCAGCAAUGUUGUCUGCCACCCAGUGGCUGAACUGCGCCUCCCUAGCAAGGACUGCACCUGAAGACUACAGAAGUUCCCAGGAGUAUUUAUCCAUCUUGUCUAAGAAUCCAUUCUGGCUGAAAGGGUGUGUGCCCAUCAUUUUUACUCGUUUCUUCCAUCGGAAAGGCCAACUUGCACUUGCUGUGUACAUACUGGACUGGGCGAGCAUCUCCGACAGAACAUGACCCAUCAAACAUCAGGCAGACAUGGCAAGUUGCCUCUGUGUUUUUAAUGAUUCAUUUUGGGAAGAACCGAAAACCUUCCAUGGAUUUCCCCAGAAAGUGCUAACUUCUGAGAGCCGUCGUUCAGAAGGCAGUACCAGAAGCACCACCUGUGGCACCCAGAGCUGCUCAGAGGAAGGUCUGAAAAUCACAAACCUCAGACUAACCCCUUCAUUUGAGAAACUGGGGCCCAGAGGGCUGAAGUGACUUUUGCAGUGUCAUGAAAUUGUCAACCAAAGGACUGAAUCCCAGCGCACUGUGCUUUCAGCUGUUUUACCCUAUAUUCCUGAAGGAUGAGUUCUAUAGAAUAGAUUAGCUCCUAUCAGUGGGUAGCCCUCUAGGGAGAGAACUGUCAGAGGGUUUUGUUCACACCUUGUUUCAAAUGCUGCUGCUCCUUCAGGACUGUGGACACGGAGACCUGCUUCCUAAGACUUCCCUCCCCACUUGGCAAUCAUCUUGAAUUUGUAUUAGAAGUAAGGAAAUGGGACUGCUUUCUCCAAAUAUUUAUAAUGACUUUAUUGCUCUGAAUUGCCACACAUCAGAGAGAACUUUUAACCAUUAGGGGUCUUGACUUCCUAUUUGUGAAAAGUGGAGUGACUCUGAUCAAGAAGGCUCAACUCCUUUUGGUUGGAGAUCACAGGAAUGGCAUCAUGUCAUGAUGGCCAUAGGGGAGCCACACCAGCUGUACUGUCCCCAGUGGAAAGAGCCAGGACCCAGGACAGGCAGUGACAGCUUCCCAGAGCACAAAUACUGUUGACUUGGGAGGUACCACUGGCAAAGUGGCCUGUGAAGAUCACCUUGUUGUAGCCUUGGUUCCUUGCCCUCCAGAGAGCUGACACCCCUUCACUGGGCUGGAUGAGCAGGAGAGACAGAGACACCUGGCCCUCCCGGAACAGAGUGAAGCUGACAAGGGAACCCCCUGUCGAAGACCCACUAAGAUACACUUCCUCCAGUGCUGUAGGUGUGGCCUAUCCCCAUUAUGAGGAUCCCAGUCAGGCUCAGCAAUGGCAACACCAGAUUUGCUUCUGGAGUUCCAGCUGGAUCUUCUAGAUGAAGCUGGGACGAUGAAUGGAAAAGAUACAAAGUGAAAAGUUGAGUCACAUGGAGGGGAUCCUCUUGGACCACCCUUAUCCUGGCUUCUUUUCCACCUGCCUCUAGGAAGCUUAAGCUUCUAGCUUUCCUAAACAAGGAUGGUGUCUACAUUUGUGAACCAGAGAGGAACUCUGCAUGAAGUCUUGAAAGGUGAGUCUUCAUUAGCCAAGAGACAAAGGCAUAUUGGGAAGGAGCGCCUACCAGGCAGAAGGGAAAGCAUGUGCAAAGCGUGAAGAUAGGAAAUCAAGUUCUGUUUGGAACUAAUGGUGGUACAGGUGGCUCAGGUGUAUGUGAAAAGGCAGGAGAUGAAGCUGGAAAGAAGACCCUCUGCACCACACUUUCAGGGUAAAAUCCACUCUCCUUAGUAUGGCAAUGAAGACUCUUCAACCCUCAGGAUUUCCAGAUUGAAAGGCCUUCCUCCCACACAGAUAAAGACACACCCUUAAGCCCCUCAUGAACUUGGAAUAAGACAGAUCUAGGUUUAAAUACAUGCUCUGCAACAUACAACCUACUUGAUCUUGGGAAAGUUGUUUAAAAUCUCUGGACCCCAAUUUUCCUAUCUCUAAAAUGGGAAUUAAGUACAUUUACCUCAAAGAGAUGAUGUGAGGACUUAGUUAUGAGAAAUACAAUAUAGAAGCAACGCUGAGUAGUUAUGCUGCGAGCCACAUGGGAAGUCUUUAAAAAAUAAAUACAUUUACAUAUUAAAAACAAAAAAACCCCAUGUCACUGGGGGAAGGACAGUGAACCCUUCCCAGAGCAUGUGUGAAGACCGACUCUGGCUGGAAAAACUGAGAAGAAAGAAUACUGCAUACUCCUGUAGGGACAGCAGGAGACUUCCUGGACUCAGAGGAUUAGAGAUUUCCUAACACUCAAGUGAGGGGCAGGAUCACUGCCAACCCCUGCCCAAACCAGGGGUACAGCGCCUGCCUAUGAUCAAGGCUGAGCCAGAAUAACAGAGAGUACAUUUCUUCUCCCCACCAGACUGGAUACUGUCAAGGGAAAGGCAACCACGUUAAGCCAGGAGAGGAGACAAGGCCAUGCAGAGAGACUCUGAGACCCAAGCAUACAGGGAAGGGUGAAAGUGAGGGUGAAAUAGGAACACGGAGAAGUGUCCUCUGUCUAAACAAUACCCACCUUAAGCACGGAAUAACUGAAGAAAUUUGAGGCCAAUGGUGAAUUCAGGGUCACCAUAGCAAUAAAAAACCCAAACCCAGCUCAACGACUGACUUUACUGGGUGAACCACCCCUGUCCCCAACCCUGGCCUCCAGCACACAGGAAUGGCCUAGGAGAAGAGGUGUCUCAUUUCUAUGCAUAAGUUCUAUUUGUUUGAGUCUAUACUCUUUUAAACUUUGUGCCUGACAAUAAAUAAAAAAUUAUGAGACAAACACAAAAAAGCAAGAAAAAACAAUCCGUGGUAAAGAGUAAAGUGAACCAUAGAAUCAGACUCAGAGAUAACCCAGAUAUUGGAAUGAUUACAGACAGGGACAGUUAGAGACAUGAGGUAUGUCUUUGAUGGGUCUGGGAUGGUUAAUUUUAUGUGUUAAGUUGACUGGGCUAAAGGGGCCCAGAUAACUGGUAAAUCAUCAUUUCUAUGUAUGUCUUUGAAGGUGUUUCCAGAGAGAAAACUGAUUCAAGAUAGGCUGAGUGAAUAUGGCCCUCACCCCUAACCAGUGUAGGUGGGCCUAAUCUAAUCCACUGAGGACUGGAAGAGGAUGAAAAAAUGAAGGGAGGCUGACUUUGGUCUCUGCUUGAGCUGGGACUCCUGUCUUCCUCAGGCAUCAGCGUUUCCCGUUCUCAGGCCUUUGGUCUUGGACCAGGAUGUUCGUGAAUCUCUCUCUCCAGACUCAGUAAUAGGAAAAUAAACAACCCAAUUAAAAAUGGGCAAAGUUUAAACAUUUCUCCAAAGAAGAUAUUCAGACCUCAAAUGUACGUAUAAAAAGAUGCUCAACAUCCUCAGAUAGUAGGAAAAUUAAAAGUCUAAUGAGGUAACACUAUACAGCUAUUAGAAUUCCUAAAAGAAUAUGACAGUUAUCAAGUGCUGACAAAAAAGUGGAGCAACUGAAACUUGCGUGUAUCGCUGAGAGAGGAUAAAAUAUGGUGCAGACACGUGUUUGGAAAUUUCUUAUAAUGUUAAAAUAGAUUUAUUGUACUACCCAGCAUGAUCGCCACCCAAGAGAAAUGAAAACUCAACGUUACACAAAAACCUGUAUGUGAAUAUAUAGAGAAGGUUUAUUCACAACUGCCAAAAACUGGACGUAAGUCAAAUGUCUUUCAUUUCUAUGUAAACAAACUGGGAUACAUCCAGGUAAUGGAAUACUACUCAGCAAUAAAAAGGAACAAACUUCUGAUAGACACACAAUGUAUGAAUCUAAAAUGUAUUAUGGUAAGAAAAAGAACCUACACUACAAAGGCUUAUAUGACAUUCUGGAAAAGGCAAAACCAUAGGGAAGAGAAUUGAUUAAGGGGUUGGGGCAAAGAUUGACCACGAAGAGACAUGAGAUAAUGUUUUGGGUGAUAGAACUGUUCUAUAUCUUGAGUGUGGUAAUGGUCACAUUAUUGUCAAAACUCACAGAACUGUAGAUUAAAAGCGGUGAAUUUACUGUAUAUAUAUUGUACUUCAAUAAAUUUAAUUAAAGUAAAA